CAGUUCUGUUUUUACUGUGAAUUUCAAUUUAGAAGGUUUAUCUAUUUCACCCUAUAUAUAUGUAUAUAUAUGAUUGCAGUAUCUGAAGAGGAAGAAUCAAAAGCCCCUCUUUGAAGCUUUACAGAAAGUCAAAGAAGAGUUGAUGGUGUUAGGGUUCAUUUCGCUACUUCUGACUGUAUUCCAAGGCAGUAUAAUCAAGAUAUGUGUUAAUCAGAGUGUUACCCAUCACCUCCUUCCUUGUAAGCUCCCAUCACAAUCUUCUUCCCACCAAGGAGAUUCUUCUUCUAACACCACUGAAACUACUUCCCAUCAUCGCCGUUUGCUCGCUGAACAAUUACCCGGGGCCAAUUACUGUGCUGCGAAGUUUUGGAACCUAAGCUCACUGAUGUCCAUCAACAUGAUUUCAUCUAGGGUCGCUUUUUGGGUAUUGGUAAAAUUUCAGUGAUGUUGGGCUGGUUGGUAAGUUCUUAUCCUCUCAUGGUAGAAUGCGUCUUCCAUUCUCCCAUUUUGCAGAAAAUGGUACUGUGUUUGACAUUUCUGCAUACCUCUGAUCCAAUGAUGCCUAAUGUUUCUCCUAAGACAUUGUUUUCACCUUGAUCUAUUAUUUUCUUUAAUAGUAUACCUUCAUGAUGAUAUGGCACAAACUGGCGUAACAUCCUAAGUCUGUUGUGGCUUGGCUGCGCCAGCCCUGGCUUGGUUUCACCUUGAUCCAUUCUCCCAUUCUGGUCUUGUUGCUUUGUAUUUUAGCAAUACCCAGUUUACAAAUUGAACCAACUAUCCCUUAAACAUUGCUCUUGAAAUAUAAAAUAAUGUUUCUUGAACUGUCUCAUUGUUGGGUAGCUAUAUAAUCUGAAACUACUUGAAUGAUAUGCUUAUUGUUUUCUAAAAUGCAUUGAGUCAUAUUUGUAAUGCCUUGUUAUGUUGUACUUUUCAGUAUUCCUUUUUCAAGCAAUUUUAUGGAUCCGUCACCAGAUCAGACUACAUGACACUGAGACUUGGUUUUAUCAUGGGGAAACCCAAAGUUCAAUUUUCACAAGUAUAUGAUUCGUGCCCUAGAAGAUGAUUUUAAGAAAGUUGUUGGUAUAAGGCAAGUGAUAACUGGGAUUACCUGUUUAAAUGCUAAAGCUUCCUAUGGCUUCUUUUGUUUGUUCAUUGGGCAAUUUGCCAAAAUUAAUUAAUUAUUUUUUUAAGAAGAAAGAAAGAGUUUAUAGUGCUGGUUUGCCAUUUAGUUACUAGGAGGGUAUUGCCUAAAAGAUAAAAUUUCCUUCUAUUUUAAUAUCA